rnacentral:lncRNA from 1 species
ACACUCGCUGGCAGGCUGGGUGCCGGAUCCCUCGCCCGCCCAGGAAAGUGGGUUACGGAGGGAAGAGGCUCAGCUCAGAUGCUGGCAAAGGAGCAUCCAGCCACAGAGACCAGAGAACACCUUCCUUUUUGCUGCCUCGUCUCCAUCCUUUCUAGAGGGUUUUAUAUUUGCACUCUCUCUUUUAAAAUUUUGUUUCUUUGACUUUUCCCCACCUCUGCUCUGGUUUUAUGAGGGCUUUGUUAAGUCUUAGACGGGAAAGAGACUGAGUGAGGGAAAGAAAGAGGCAAAGUGGAAAGGACCACAAAUUGGCAAAGCCUGUUCUGCUUUUGCUGUGGAUGAAAGUCCUCUGUUUGUAAAGCCCUCUCGGCGUGAGCAGCACGCGCACCCUCCAGAGUAGCCGGACCCUGCACCGCACCUCGGCGUGGCCACCAUGGUCGCCAGAGUUCAGCCUGAUCGGAAACAGUUGCCGCUAGUCCUACUGAGAUUGCUCUGCCUUCUUCCCACAGGACUGCCUGUUCGCAGCGUGGAUUUUAACCGAGGCACCGACAACAUCACCGUGAGGCAGGGGGACACGGCCAUCCUCAGGUGAUUCUAAUGUACAGGCUGCUGAGGACAACUGAUUUAGUGGUUCCAUAAGCCAAGGCAGUUGAUGACUGAGAGAGAUGAAAUAAAGGAGCAUUCCUCAGAAUAAAAUGAUAAAGUGAGAGGCAACCUAUUCCUGAGUUGAGACCUGAGUAAGUAACCAGAGGAGGUGUGGAGGAUGGGCUUUCGUUCUUCUAAACACGUGACACAUCAUUUUAAAGACGAAGAUGGUAGAUUACUGUACAUUGCUGAGCAGAGACAGGCCAAAUAAUUCUCUGGUUUGACUAAUGAGUUUCUUCCCAAACAAGUGAAAUGGUUUUGUUCUUAUUUAACAAAAUCCCUUUACAUGGCUUGGUUUGAGGUUAGCAGGUUUAGCUCUCAGAUGAAGGAGGAAAGGACUAGUUAGCUUGCAGCUCCAGGCACCAACAUACUGAUGAGCCAAUUGUGACACGUAAUCAAUGUGUGAAAAGUGGGUAAUUCUCACUAAUGCCCUGCUAAUGUUUUCAGAAUGAUCUGUCAAAGGACUGAAGCUAAUUAUUGUCAUGGCAGUUUGGCCCAGGUCCACUGGAAUAAUCCUGGCAUCAGUGAACAAGAGCAUACCAUACGUUGCCAGUUUGUCACCCACUUUGAGUCUUUAUUCCUCUUUCUCCUCACAUAGAAAUCCUAUAUACCAUUUUCUAUAUUCUUUAAAAUAUGUAAUUACAUCCUUCAUUUCCCUUUCAUUUUCUUGUUUUCCAAGCUCCAUGCUUCAUCUUUUUUUUUUUCCCCCUACUUCCCUUUUCCUUUUUAUUGCAAAAAAUAUUGGAUGGUAACUCAAGAGUCCUAAAAUCUAAUCCUGGUUUUACUAUAAGAGCAAACUGUGUCAUACUCUCUGUGUCUGUUUAUAGGAAAGAAGGAGCAGAUAAGCUGUAAUAAAGGAACUAGGUAUGCAAUAGUGUCCUUUUGUUUGAAAAUAACAAAAUUCUGGAUUUACCUUGCAUGUCUGCUCUAUGUUUAGGUCCAUGGCAUCGUUUUUUUUAUCAAGUUUAUUUAUCACUACGAUGACUCAUUUCUGAACCAUGGGACAUCUAGUAAGCAGGGUACCUACUAGUAAUCAAUUGUGUAGGAAAUGGAGUUUAACCUGCUCUAGAAAUUUAAAGGCGGAGGGAAAACAUUGAGUCUUCAGGUACAAAGACAUACUCCCAGGUACAUAGCAAGGUGACACUGCCAUCUCCAAACUUUCUUGUAAGAUAGUUUUCUCUUGGAAUAAUUUUUCAUUAAUAAUCUCUUGAAUAAUAUCAUAGCAAUGCCUUGGAUCAGUAUAGCAUCUAGUGAUGGUCUCAGAUCUCUUCUCAUCUCAGUUUUAACAUCCCUGUGAAAUAGUUGGGGUGGAUAAUAAUUAUCCCUUCUUUGUUGAUGGAAAACUGGCAAAAGGAGAUUAAUAACAUUUAUAGUCAAAGUGAAUUUGCAUUAUGCAUUUUCCUUCUUAAGCAGUCUUCCCUGCAAGACUGUUCAUGUGUAUGUGUUUAUGUAUAUGUGAUGUGUUUACUUUUUUAGCAAACAGCAUAGUAAAGCGAUGCACAGUUUUUCACUUUUGAGCCAAGUUGAGAAACAGUGUAAUUUUUACUCCCAAAAGAGGCAAAAGCUGUAACAAGUAAGAAAUUUGGAGAUUAAAAAAAAAAAUUUUAAGUAUUUAAACAUUACCUUAGAGCAAAGAUCAGCAAACUUUUUCUAUAAAGGGAUAGAGAGUAAAUAUUUAGAUGUUGUAGGACACAAAUAUUAUCAGUUACAUACUCUUUUCUUAAAUUGCAACCCAACCCUUAACAAAAUUAAAAAAAUUAUUUUUAUUAUUAUUUUUUAAAUUUUUUUGUCUUUUUAGGGCCACACCCAUGGAAUAUGGACUUCCCCAGGCUAGGGGUCCAGUUGGAGCUGUAGCCACCAGCCUACACCAGAGCCACAACAAUACUGGAUCCGAGGUGCGUCUGCAACCUACACCACCACUUACGGCAAUGUUGGAUCCUUAACUCACUCAGUGAGGCCAGGGAUCAAACCUGAGUCAUCAUGGAUGCUAGUCAAGUUUGUUAACCAUUCAACCACAACAGGAACUCCUACAAAAUUUUUUUUUCUUGAAGACUUUAAAAGAAACAGGCCACAAGCCAGAUUUGGCCCUUGGGCCAUAGUUUGCCAAUCCCUGCCUUUGAGUCAUUCUCAUAUUGUGUAGUCCUAGGAGGUAGCUGCUAUUGAUAAUCCCAUUUUACAAAUGAGAAGACUGUGGAUAAUAAAGUAGAAUCAGUUACUUGUCCUACAAGUAAAGCCCGAAGUGUUCUCAGUGAAGUGUUGCUGCUACACACUAGGUAUCUCGUGGUGUGCUAAAAGGGCUCCAGGUGUAAAGAGUGUUACACAUGGGAAAGCCAGUGACUGUAGAAUGAGGAAUCGAAAAUUCCUAACCCAGAAGGAAUCCAGGGGAAACACACAGUUUGUGACAAUGAUUAGGUUUCUGUCUUUUAAUUCUGUAUUUUACCUGCACAUGAAUCCAGACUAUGAUGUUGCAUCAGGUUGUCCAUGUAUGACUGUUUUCCUUGCUUGUCAGAAUAUUUCUCCUCAACCUGGAUCCUCUCUUUAUCACAGAUCUUUUUAACUGUGCUGAUUCUUACCUAUGGUCAUGUUUUUUUUUUUUCUACUAUACUCUGACUUCCUUUAGAGGAUUCUUAAGUAUCAUUUCCAGUUGGAUAAACGUUUAUUUCCCUUCCACAUACCCACUUGAUCCAGAAAGACUUUGAUCUGAACAAUCUUCUAAUAAUAAAAAUCAUAUGCCACUUUUUUGCUUAGAAUUCAUGAUGGUCUUCCCAUAGCCUUUAACAAAUACCAUAUGAUAUCACUUACAUCUGGAAUCUAAUAUACGGCAGAAAUGAACCUUUCCACAGAAAAGAAAAUCAUGGACUUGGAGAACAGACUUGUGGUUACAAAGGAGGGAGUGGGAUGUAUUGGGAGUUUGGGGUUAAUAGAUGUGGACUCUUGCCUUUGGACUGGAUUGGCAAUGAGAUCCUGCUGUGUAGCACUGGUAACUAUGUCUAGUCACUUAUGAUGGAACAUGAUAAUGUGAGAAAAAAGAAAAUAUACAUGUAUGUGUGACUGGGUCACCAUGCUGUAUGGUAGAAAAAAUAAAUUAAAAAAAUUUGAAAGAA